AUUGAACGCUGGCGGAAUGCUUUACACAUGCAAGCCGAACGGCAGCACGGACUUCGGUCUGGUGGCGAGUGGCGAACUGGUGAGUAAUGUAUCGGAACGUGCCCAGUCGUGGGGGAUAACGUAGUGAAAAUUACGCUAAUACCGCAUACGAUCUAUGGAUGAAAGCGGGGGAUCGCAAGACCUCGCGCGAUUGGAGCGGCCGAUAUCAGAUUAGGUAGUUGGUUGGGUAAAGGCCCACCAAGCCAACGAUCUGUAGCUGGUCUGAGAGGACGACCAGCCACACUAGAAAUCAGACACGUUCCAGACUCCUACGGGAGUCAGCAGUGGGGAAUUUUGGACAAUGGGCGAAAGCCUGAUCCAGCCAUUCCGCGUGCAGGAUGAAGGACCUCGGGUUGUAAACUGCUUUUGUACAGAACGAAAAGGUUUCUACUAAUACUAGGAGCUCAUGACGGUACUGUAAGAAUAAGCACCUGCUAACUACGUGCCACCCGCCGCGGUAA
rnacentral:rRNA from 1 species